rnacentral:rRNA from 1 species
CCUACGGGAGGCAGCAGUGGGGAAUAUUGCACAAUGGGGGCAACCCUGAUGCAGCGACGCCGCGUGAGUGAAGAAGUAAUUCGUUAUGUAAAGCUCUAUCAGCAGGGAAGAAAUUGACGGUACCUGCAAAGGAAGCACGGGCUAACUCCGUGCCAGCAUCCGCGGUAAUACGGAGGGUGCGAGCGUUAAUCGGAAUUACUGGGCGUAAAGCGGUCGUAGGCGGUAUGUCAAGUCAAGGGUGAAAUCCCCGCGCUCAACGUGGGAACUGGCUUUUAAACUGGAAAACUGGAGUGGGAGCGAGGAUAGUGGAAUUCCGGGUGUAGGAGUGAAAUCCGUAGGUAUCCGGAGGAAAAUCAGAGGCGAAGGCGACUAUCUGGCACAUAACUGACGCUGAGGAGAGAAAGCGUGGGUAGCAAACAGGAUUAGAUACCCUGGUAGUC